CUUCGAAAGUCUUUUAUCUGAAAGAUGAAAAAAAAUCAGUCAUCAGAUGUUAAAAGAUGGGGAAAAGAGCCAAAGCAAUGAGAGACGUACCCCGUUGCUGACCGACUGAUACAUCAUUGCUGUGGAUACCGGGCGAAGGAAGACCAACAAAAGCUGUGGAGGAGUUCAGUCAACAUGGCAGAGAAGAAGGACCUUGAGCUCACCUCCCCUCACAAGCACACCAAAACCACAACUAAGUGCAAAACCACCAUGGACGAAAAGAUCAGAACCUACCAGAAAAGAUCUUCUACAACAAAAGACGUAAAGGAGGAACCAGAAGGAGACGGGACUUGAAAAGCUAUUCUCAUUCUUUCUGCCACUGAGCUGCAGUCCAGGAAGAGAGCAACAGUAAGCAAAGGAGUUGGUGAGAGGCGAGAAAAGUGUGGCAACAGUGGAGACCCUGCCAUCCUGUUUAGAUGGUACAGUACGAGCUCCGUGUCACACAAAAUGGUAAGAGCACCACAUACAUGCGUUCUCUCCACCCCGGUGGUCAGAUUUAUGGUCACCGUUUGUCAAAUUAAAAAGGAGAAUAUUUAAAUGAUCUUUAUUUAAUGGUGGCUGACAUCUUAUUCUUUCUUUUAUCCCAGUCAUAGCUUGAAAUGUUUUAAC